UGUAGUGUGUGUUCUUGUCAGUUCAAUGUUCGACGUGUUCCCUAUCCCGGGAUAAUACAUUAAGUGGAGUUUUGGAGCAGGGAGGUGGGGUAGGAGCGUGCUUAUUGCAGUGUGUCUGGGAACUGCACCCCCUCUGGGGAUGUAAGGCUCAGCCGAGCGGUUGAAAGAAAAAUUUCCAGUGGUUGUUUUCAACGUUUCCUUGGAAAAUAUGAUCCUACCAGGCAGCUCAUGCUGGAAGCCAGGAAGAUCUGCCUGGAUAUUAUCCACAGACUUGGAAUUGUGCACAACACAGUAUGCGGUCCACUGGUCAUACGAAAAUCCACGUCUUCCAGAAGUUGCUACCCAACAGAGCAUUUCAACCUGCUGAAGGCACAGUUGAAGUGCCAGCUUUGAAGGCUAUAUACUCUGCAAAGACAAGACCCUGUCUUCCAGGAUGCAUGGCACAUACAGAAUCACAGUCUUCUAGCAGUGCUGUGUCCUCAACUGGAGGAAUACAUGGGUUAAGGAACCACGGAGUGGAAGCAGGAGUGUGUGCCAUUGAACUCCACGCUACAGCUGUGGCUGGACACAUUGGACUUGCAUCCAGGGACCAGCAGGCAAGAAGAGCAGUUGCUGUCUUGGCAGGGAUAAUUGGCCCUCAUCAUCACGGGGAGGAAGUGCUGUUGUUAUAUAAUGAGGGCAGGUAGAAUAUAUGUGGACUUGGAUGAUAUGUUUGAGAGCAACAUGUUACUCCAAGGCCCACUUGUGACUGAAUGGACAAGCACAGCAACUUCAACUUGAGAAAGGUGUGACUUCUAGGGGUGUAGGCCCCAAAGGAAUGAGAGUUUGGGUCAUAGCACCAGGGAAACCACCAGAAUCAGCAGAGGUGAUGGCUGAGGAUGAGGGGAAUUUAGAAUGGAGAGUACAGGAGGCACAGGAUGAGUACCACCUGCAGCUCUACGACCAAGUGCAGCAAUGGGGGCUGUAGUUUGACUCACUAACCUUAUUGCAAGUUUUUGCAGUAUAUAAGGGUCAGCAUCUCAGGGACAAAGAGCAGGAGAGAGGAAUGGCAAAUGGAUGCAGGCAGAGAAGAAAAGGCACAAACCCACAUAUUCCUGAUUGACAUUGCAGUAAUAUACACAGACAGAGAAGUCUUCUCUUAAGCUGGUUUUAAAAUCAACAUCUCUGUUAGAGUAAAAGUGACCACCAACACUUUGGGCAAAUGUUAAGUGUAAUUAUUGUUGGUUUAGUUUAAUAUCAUUCUUUAUUAAAUAACAAUGUGCACAACAAAGUUAAGGAUUCUUUUGAAAAGGCAUCUCUGUGCUUCGUGCAAAUAUAUCAUCUAAGAAAUUCUCACUCCUGAGUUGUUAAAGUAUAAAAAGGUUUAUGUGUGUCAGAAUGUUAGAAUGUCAAUUCACACUCCUAGAAAAAUAUCAAGGACCUCACCACAGCCACUCCCUGAUUUCACAAACUUGGUAAACAGUCUCAGUUGUUUAGUACCGUUAGAUAAGACCACUGCCUUGGGCUAAAUGUCCCCCCAAAACUUAGUCUCCAUUGUAACUGUUGAGGGUGGGAAGUCCUAUUUGAUUGUUGAGUGGGAAAUCCUAAUUGAAAGGUGGGGCCUUGAAGAGGUGAUUGGAUUGUAGGACCAUGCCAUAGUAGUGGAUUAAGAAUGGUGGUCAGGGGCAUGGUUCUGUGGGCUUUAAAAGGAGAGUGCAGGAGGAGCUAUGGUUCUCUCUGGUCCACCAUUUUCACAAUGUGAUACACUGACAUCACUGUCGCCACCAAGGCUCUCAUCAGAUGUGUUCCCUGGACUUUGGACUUCCCAGCCUCAGAAGCUGUAAGCAAUAAACUUCAUUUUCUUACAAAUUA